CCUAGAGUUGUAGGCUUUGCCUGCUAUCUCUUACCCAUGUCUUUUGAGUACCUUACGUUUCCUCGGUGGGUUCGCCCACCGAUUGGACAAACUUAAACCCUUUGCAGUUGAAAUCAGCGUCUGAAAAAACUUAAUAGUUA
rnacentral:misc_RNA from 1 species